AUGGGAAACAAAGUACCUUUUAUUUUGAUAACUGAGAUAUGUUUAUGCCUCAACAGGGGAGUCUUUAAUAAGCUGGAUUCUGAGGGACUUUACUUCUUUUGUAUACCUCCCACCCAGCUGGAUACCCAUGUGUUGGGUGCACUGCAAAGAAGAGGAGGGAUAAUGACAGUGGCCAGUGUUUCUCCCACAGUGGGCUGUGACUGCCAGGCCAGUGGCCCUGGGUAAGGAGAAGCUUUGAGAAUCUGAUCACCUGAUAUGAGUAAGCACAUUCCCCUGUCAUUCCACAGAUGCCAUUACUAAAGCGGAUGUGAAACUCCCUUUUGAUAUACAUUACCAACCUCUGAUUAGCUGUACACAUUCACCUCCUGAUUCCCAUUUGUAAACUGGGGAUAAAUAGAUCUGGUGUGAGGACUGGGUAUAAAAAUACCUGUAAAGCUCUUGAUCCUGAGUCUGUCCCUUAAUGAGGGCAUACAGAAUAAAUUGUCCACAUCCACAUUAUUAUCGCUUUGGUUGCUUUUAACUCAAGAAGCUGUAGAAAUUAUUGAAAAAGAAAAAAAAAAUGCUUUUUUUCCUCUGGCCCUAUUCUUCAUCAACCACCAUAUGAAGUGCUGAGAUAAGAAAGUGAAUCCCUACUGCAAUAACGGGAACUAUGAAAUCCCAGAAAUCUAGGUCACUUCUGACAGGGAUGCAGCAUUCCUAUGUGCCAUGUACUGAUCUAAGAACCUAACAUAUAUUAACUAACUCGACUUGUCACAACCACCCGCUAAGGUAGGUGCAAUUGUUACAAUUCUUACCCCAUUUUACUGAUGGGGAAACUGAUGUAAAAGAAAUUAAGCAAUGUGCCACACAUCAUACACCUUAACAAGCUGUAGAGGAUUUGAAUGCAGGUAGACAACUCUAGGUCUGUGCUUCACAGCCUUUUAGACCUCUUAGCUUCAGUUUUCACAGCAGUAGAAUGAGAAUCAUCAUCCCACACUGGAACUGGCAAAGGCUAAUACAAUGGAAGGGAUGAUCUCUAUUAAGCUAUUUAACCAAAGAGCAUCGCAGUCGAUGCAAUGAAACAGCGUGGCUGAACAUCACUAAAGAUGUGUUGCUAAGGUUAUUCCAGGUGCUUAAAUGCCAACAAAAAUGUUUUUCUUCAGUGAACCUCAAUAUUAUGCCCUGAAAUUAACAUUGGGAAUAAUGUAUCAUCUUUUGUAUGAUUAUUUGAACACUCACAAUCCUUUAUCUGGUCAGACAGGAGUAAUAUUUUUUCACAAUGUAUAAGGAAGCUCUUCUCACAAGUUCAGAAAUGACUGUAGCGGCUCAUGUUUUAAGUGUGUGCUGUUCUUUGGUAAACUCACAUAUUAG
rnacentral:lncRNA from 9 species